rnacentral:rRNA from 1 species
AUUGAACGCUGGCGGAAUGCUCUACACAUGCAAGUCGAGCGGCAGCGCGGGGCAACCUGGCGGCGAGCGGCGAACGGGUGAGUAAUGCAUCGGAACAUGUCCAUGACGUGGGGGAUAGCCCGGCGAACGCCGGAAUAAUCCCGCAUACGCCCGCGAGGGGACAGUGGGGGACCGCAAGGCCUCACGCCAUUGGGUUCGCCGAUGUCCGAGUAGCUAGUCCGCGGGGUAAAGGCCCACCAAGGCGAUGAUCGGUAGCUGGUCUGAGAGGGUGAUCAGCCACACUGGGACUGAGACACGGCCCAGACUCCUACGGGAGGCAGCAGUGGGGAAUGUUGGACAAUGGGGGCAACCCUGAUCCAGCCAUUCCGCGUGAGUGAAGAAGGCCUUCGGGUUGUAAAGCUCUUUUGUCCGGAACGAAACGCGGCGCGUGAAUAUCGCGCCGUACUGACGGUACCGGAAGAAUAAGCACCGGCUAACUACGUGCCAGCCGCCGCGGUAACAC